rnacentral:rRNA from 1 species
GUGGGGAAUCUUGCGCAAUGGGCGAAAGCCUGACGCAGCCAUGCCGCGUGAAUGAUGAAGGUCUUAGGAUUGUAAAAUUCUUUCACCGGGGACGAUAAUGACGGUACCCGGAGAAGAAGCUCCGGCUAACUUCGUGCCAGCAGCCGCGGUAAUACGAAGGGGGCUAGCGUUGCUCGGAAUUACUGGGCGUAAAGGGCGCGUAGGCGGACAGCUUAGUCAGAGGUGAAAGCCCAGGGCUCAACCUUGGAAUUGCCUUUGAUACUGGCUGUCUUGAGUUUGGGAGAAGUGAGUGGAACUCCGAGUGUAGAGGUGAAAUUCGUAGAUAUUCGGAAGAACACCAGUGGCGAAGGCGACUCACUGGCCCAAUACUGACGCUGAGGCGCGAAAGCGUGGGGAGCAAACAGGAUUAGAUACCCGAGUAGUCC